rnacentral:tRNA from 1 species
UCCGUCGGCGGAGAGUCGAACCCAGGUCAACUGUUUGGGAAAGAGCUAUUCUGACCGUGGAACUACCGACCU